CAUUGGCUGAGCUUGCUGUGAGGCUGGUACUUUUGAAGAGGGGAACCAUUAUUCCUGUCCACAGUGGUAAGUAACUUGCAAGUCUUAUAAUGUGUGGAACAAUCUCAGGGAGGAAAUGGAUGUUAUCCCUAUCCCCAUUAGAUGCAGCGUGUGUCCUGCUCUCCUCACAAAUGUUUGACACCCAGUCUCGUAGGUCAGUCUGGAAGUCAUCACAUGGAUCGACUUGAUGCACUUCCUGUGCAUCUUCUUCUGGAAUGAUGAUGGAGUCUUCUGCAAUCUGUGCUUUCAGGCAGUCCCACUGGCAUACCAUCUUUAUGCAGUGGGCAACAUCAACCCUGAUGUAACAGGGAGGAAGUUUUGCAGACUGGUUCCCACGUAGCACACGGAAGCAUUCAUCAAUGUAUGACUUCAGGUCAGAAAGAGGAGUGAAGGCCUUCACCAGAGCACCUAGAAUAGCCAGGGAAAAGUCACUCACAGCUUCUUUUGGUACAGCUGCACCUGAACGAAGCCAGUCUGUCAGCCAUGUUGCAAUUGCAUUAAUGUCAUGUCUUUCUGAUAGCAUUUGUACCACUGGGACUGAGCAGUUGUCUCCCUUCAGAACACCUUGAUAUAAGAAGAUGUGGCCAGAUUUACCAUUUGGUCGUGUGAGUUUUCUGACGACUGAACCAGUUGCAUCAAAGCAAACUACUGAGGGACAUUUUUUGGUUGCAAGGUUUGGAAGGUGGCUUGGUUCGGGAUCUCCAAAAGCCAUCAACUCUGAUGCCUUUGCUGACCUCCAUACAGCUGGCUCCAUCCUACCCUCACACAGCUCUUUUGAAAUUUGUGCACGAAGGGUUCCUGACAUGAAUCUUUUGGACUGGCCAGUGUGCAGGGAGAUGUCAGCACCUUCGAUGGAACACUGGAGCACCAUUGGGCUGUUGACCGCUGGCUUGCUGUCGCAUGUCAUUGUAACAUGGCCUUGACAGUCUUUACAGAAGCCUUUGAUGUCGAUGUACUUAUUAGUGACCGUUGGAUAAACUUUUGCUCUUUGGAAUACAAAAGUACAACCGUGUUUUAAUUUUUUCCACACCAGAUCAUUAAUGAUAUGAGUCCAAGUGCCAGGUUUUAAAAUUGUGUAGCUUCUUUUGCCAGAUGAUGAAAACUGGUCGUUGUA